GCAGGCGCGUAAAUUACCCACUCCCAGUUCGGGGAGGUAGUGACGAAAAAUAACAAUACAGGACUCAUAUCCGAGGCCCUGUAAUUGGAAUGAGUACACUUUAAAUCCUUUAACAAGGACCUAUUGGAGGGCAAGUCUGGUGCCAGCAGCCGCGGUAAUACCAGCUCCAAUAGCAUAUAUUAAAGUUGUUGCGGUUAAAACGUUCGUAGUUGAAUUUGUGCUUCAUGCAGGUAGUACAACUAUAAUCGUAGUUUGUACAUUACCUUAUGCAUGUAAGCGUAUUAUCGGUGGAGUUCUAAUAUAUAAUAAUAAAUAUUAUUAUUAUAUAUACCUCCUAUUUGAAACCUACUUCAGUGCUCUUAUCGAG
rnacentral:rRNA from 1 species